rnacentral:rRNA from 1 species
UAGGGAAUAUUAGAAAUGGACGAAAGUCUGAUCUAGCAACACCGCGUGUGCGAAGAAGGCCUUCGGGUCGUAAAGCACUUUUUGGAAGGAAUAGGAAGGAAUGUACUUCCAGAAUAAGUCUCGGCUAACUACGUGCAAGCAGCCGCGGUAACACGUAGGAGGCGAACGUUAUCCGGAUUUACUGGGCGUAAAGCGCGUGUAGGUGGUUCUGUAAGUAGGGCGUGAAAGCUCCUGGCUCAACUGGGAGAGGCCGUUCUAAACUACAGAACUAGAGGAUGGUAGAGGGAGGUGGAAUUCCAGGUGUAGCGGUGGAAUGCGCAGAUAUCUGGAGGAACACCAGUGGCGAAGGCGGCCUCCUGGACCAGUCCUGACACUCAGACGCGAAAGCUAGGGUAGCAAACG